rnacentral:misc_RNA from 1 species
UCAACUAUCAAGCCUGACUUGUCGUUGGACCCUUUUGUCACUGAAAUAUGUGACAAGGUCCGAAAGAUAAUAACGGUGUCGUGUUUGACCCUAAAUGCAACGAGCUUUUUAUAGCACGCAUUGAAGUGGUCGGCCGUCCCAGUCUUUAACUAUCAUUUUUCUAA